rnacentral:tRNA from 1 species
CGCCGGGGGUGGAGCAGCACGGUAGCUCUCGGCCUAUAACCCGAAGGCUGUCGUCGGUUCAAAUCCGGCCCCCGCAA